UGCCAGGAUGGAAGACGCAGGUUUGC
rnacentral:piRNA from 1 species